AAACAUAUCAAUCCCCAUUACUUCGAAGAAAAGAAAUAAUAAUAUGGAAGUUAAAAUGCUUAUAAUGUAUGAGUAAAAUUGAAGAAGUGCUGUAAAACCGAUUAAUUAACAAUACUGAAAAACAAAGACCGUUUUCCUCUAUGAAGAGUUGUCACUGUGAUACCAACGAAUUAACCCCAGCACCAUAACAUACUAUAGGUAAUUGGUAAUGAAAUCCUUCUGCUUUUAAAGAACAGGUUCUCUUUCAUGGCUCACAGAAUCACUGAAUCACAGAAUUGUAGGGGCUGGAACGGACCUCUAGAGAUCAUCUAGUCUACUCCCCCCUUCCAAAGCAAAUAUGGGCUGCUGUAUAAAGACUACGAUAUGGCCUAACUUAACUUCAGUUAUGCAUCUGCCCCACUACCAGUACUCUGUCAUUAUGCACAGACAGCUUCAGUGCAUGGUUCAUUUCUUUUAUCCCCAGAUGGGAAGGAAAUACAUAAAUAUGAGUAACAGAACCUUGGUUCCACACCACCAAAGGAUCUCUGGAGUAUUCUUGUCCUUGGAGGUAUUCAAGAGAUGUUUAGAUGUCAUAUUACGGGACAGGGUUUAGUGGGGAAAUAUUGCUGGUAGGAAGAAGGUUGGACUAGAUAAUCUUGAAGGUCUUUUCCAACCUCAGUGAUUCUAUGAUUCUGUGCUCAGGCAAUGGAUUGCUACACGACACAUUGCAAAGGAAAUCACCUCCUUUUCUAGAAGCAUUUCCAGCAACAAGCAGUUAUUUAUCAUUUCUACCAGCAGUUAAGAAUAAAUGAUGCCUGAAGCAAUUGGGAUUUUAGUAAAGAUACACUGUAAAGAUUACACUGAAUAUUUUAAUUAAAAAGAACUAACCUGAAUGACUACGCUGUUGGUAAUACCACACUGCAACUUAAGGUGAGAAGGUAUUUUCAAGACUAAACAACAUCGUUUUAUUCUGAAAAGGAAACAUAUUCCAAAUUAUUUCAGAACACACAGGCAUUACAGGCAUUUGAAAUCAUCAAAAUAGCAGAAGAGUGUUUUUGAAAGCUGCAUCUUUCAUAUUUAGAGCAUGCAAAUAUAAGCUUUAUUUUACCUUGAUGUGAACUUAGGCCAAAUAUUUUGUAAAUCUGUGUCAUUAAAUUUACAUUUAUUUCAUAUUUUUGGAAGUUUCUAGAGUGUUUGUAUAGUUAUGUUUUUAAUUGAUGUUUUAUUGUUUGUUUUUCAUGGGUUCUCUUGCCAAAAAUGAUAUUUUGACAGUUGUAAGUAGAACUUACAACUUAACUUCCCUUAACUUCUUCCAUCUUGAUUUCUGGCUGUAAUAGAACUCUAGCAGCCAAAAAGUAUGCAAGAAAGCUGAUGGCAGGAAGUUGAAUACAGAAUGGUCAAUACCUUUUAUUGAUUAGAUCACAGAAUCAUAGUGUGAACUAGGUUGGGUACGGAUCUCAGAAGGCCAUCUGGUCCAAACACAUCUCAAAGCAGAGUUGACUUUGAAGUUAGAUCAGACUGCUUGGGGCCAUGCCCAGCUAGUUUGAAUAAUCUCCAGGGACAGUGAUCCUGCAACCUCCCUAGGAAAUCUUUGAUGGCAUAAUUGCAUGUGAUGUUGUAACUGCAACAAUGGUCAAGCGGUGCUGAUGUCAUCUAUAUGGACUUCAACAAGGAUUUUGACAUGGUUCCUCACAAUAUCUUUCUUUCCAAAUUGGAAAGAUUUGGAUUUGAUGGAUGAGGAACUGGUUGCAAUUUUGUGGUGAGAGAGUAGUGGAGAGAGUUUAGUGUCUAGAUCAAGAUCAAUGACGAAUGGUGUCCCUCAGGGAUCAGUACUGGGACCAGUGUUCUUAAUAUCCUCAUCAAUGGCAUUGACACUGUGAUCAAAUAUAAGUUUGCAGAUGACACCAAGCUGUGUGGGGUGGUCAACAUACCCAAGGGAUGGAACGCCAUCCAGAGAGACCUAAACAGGCUCAAGAAGUGGGCCCAGGGGAACCUCAUGAUGUUCAAUAAAUUCAAGUGCAAGGUCUUGAACCUGGGUCGUGGCAACACCCACUGUCAGUACAAGCUGGGGGACAAAACAACAGAGCAUAGCCCUGCUGAAAAGGAUUUGGGGGUACUUGUGAAUAGACAUGAGCCAGUAAUGUGCCCUUGCAUCCCAGAAAGCCAAUUACAUUCUGAGCUGCAUCAAACAAAGCAUGGACAGCAGGUUGAGGGAGGUGAUCCUGCCCCUCUACUCUGUGCUGGUGAGACCCCACCUGGAGUACAUGUUCACAUACGAACUCCUCAGUACAGAAGAGACAUGAAUCUGUUGGAGCAUGUCCAGAAGAGGGCUGCAAAAAUGGAAUGGAAGGGAUGGAAAACCUCUCCUACGAGGACAGGCUGAGAACUGGGGCUGUUCUGCCUGGAGAAGAGAAGACUCCAAGAUGACCUCAUUGCGGCCUUUUGGUAUCCAAAGGGGGGCUAUAUGAAGGAAUGGGGGCAUAUUCUUUAGAAGCGUUUGUUGUGAUUGGGCAAGGGGAAAUGGUUUCAAACUAAAAGAGGGGAGAUUUAGACUGGAUAUGAACAAAAUGGUUUUUUUUACAAUAAG
ensembl:lncRNA